rnacentral:rRNA from 1 species
UACGGGGGGAGCAAGCGUUGUUCGGAUUUACUGGGCGUAAAGGGCGCGUAGGCGGCCACCGCAAGUCGGUUGUGAAAUCUCUGGGCUUAACCCAGAAAGGUCAACCGAUACUGCGGGGCUAGAGUGCAGAAGGGGCAACUGGAAUUCUCGGUGUAGCGGUGAAAUGCGUAGAUAUCGAGAGGAACACCUGCGGCGAAGGCGGGAUUGCUGGGCUGACACGUGACGCUGAAGCGCGAAAGCUAGGGGAGCGAACGGG